rnacentral:rRNA from 1 species
GGGGAAUAUUGCACAAUGGAGGAAACUCUGAUGCAGCGACGCCGCGUGAAGGAUGAAGUAUUUCGGUAUGUAAACUUCUAUCAGCAGGGAAGAAAAUGACGGUACCUGACUAAGAAGCCCCGGCCAACUACGUGCCAGCAGCCGCGGUAAUACGUAGGGGGCAAGCGUUAUCCGGAUUUACUGGGUGUAAAGGGAGCGUAGACGGCACGGCAAGCCAGAUGUGAAAGCCCGGGGCUCAACCCCGGGACUGCAUUUGGAACUGCUGAGCUAGAGUGUCGGAGAGGCAAGUGGAAUUCCUAGUGUAGCGGUGAAAUGCGUAGAUAUUAGGAGGAACACCAGUGGCGAAGGCGGCUUGCUGGACGAUGACUGACGUUGAGGCUCGAAAGCGUGGGGAGCAAAC